GUAUUGAUGAAGAGUUCCUAACUAGGACGAAACGGCUGUCCAGUAC
rnacentral:hammerhead_ribozyme from 1 species